UACGGGGGGAGCAAGCGUUGUUCGGAUUUACUGGGCGUAAAGGGCGCGUAGGCGGCCACCGCAAGUCGGUUGUGAAAUCUCCGGGCUUAACCCGGAAAGGUCAAUCGAUACUGCGGGGCUAGAGUGCAGAAGGGGCAACUGGAAUUCUCGGUGUAGCGGUGAAAUGCGUAGAUAUCGAGAGGAACACCUGUGGCGAAAGCGGCUCACUGGACCACAACUGACGCUGAUGCGCGAAAGCUAGGGGAGCAAACAGG
rnacentral:rRNA from 1 species